UACGUAGGGUGCAAGCGUUAAUCGGAAUUACUGGGCGUAAAGCGUGCGCAGGCGGUGAUGCAAGACAGAGGUGAAAUCCCCGGGCUCAACCUGGGAACUGCCUUUGUGACUGCAUGACUAGAGUACGGUAGAGGGGGAUGGAAUUCCGCGUGUAGCAGUGAAAUGCGUAGAUAUGGCGGAGGAACACCGAUGGCGAAGGCAAUCCCCUGGACCUGUACUGACGCUCAUGCACGAAAGGCGUGGGGAGCAAACGAGG
rnacentral:rRNA from 1 species